rnacentral:lncRNA from 1 species
CGCCCUACAAAGCAACAGUCAAGAUCCUGAUUAAUAUCUUCACCAUCAUAUCAGUUUGUCAAGCCUUAUCCUCUCCUUCUUUGAUCAACAAUCAUGCAAGAGCAACCUCUAUCAUGAAGACAACAAGAUCCCAAAAAGAGAAAAACCCAACAAAAUGACAAAAAGAAGAGAAAAUGGAAAAAAGUGUGCCACAAAAAUAGAUAAAAAAAUGUACCACAAGAGAAAACGGAG